UGUUUCAAACAUAUUAUCAUUUUUUGUAAUGCUUUCGGCGUGGAUGCAAUCAGAAUCAAAUCAUCGGCAUACAUAAGUCCUUUAAUAUUCAACUCGUCCACCCACAUCCCUUCUUCCAUAUUAUCAAAAAUAUCAUUAAUAAACAGGGUGAAUAAAAUCGGGGACAACAAGCAGCCUUGUUUUAAUCCGUUCUCUGUAUAGAAUGCAUUACUCAGCCCAUCCUUCUUAUUUUGAGUAUUUUUACACCAAACAAACGCCCGUGUAUUCUCAUAUAAUUUCUGGACAAUUCUCACAAAUUUGCUAGACAACCCAAUCUGAAACAACUUAUUAAAGCAUUACGAUCUACUUUAUCGAAAGCGGCCUUGAAGUCAACAUACAAACAAUAAACUCUAUCUUUGCUUCUCCUCAGUUUCAAAUUGAUGAUGCUGUAUAAACUGAAUAUAUUAUCCACUAUAGGUACUGUAUCCUUUUCUAAAUCCCGCCUGUUCCUCAUUUAUUACUUCAUUUUUCUCUACCCAUUCGUUUAAUCUAUUCAGAAAAAUUCCUGCGAAAAUUUUUGCAAAUGCAUUGAUGAAUUGUAUGCCUCUGUAAUUAGCAACUUCAUUCAAAUCACCUUUUUUAUGAAUUGGGAAGAUAACCGCUUCCGAAAAAUUGUCAGGCACCAAUCCUGUAUCAUAAAUAUAAUUAUAAAAAUUGAGCAGCAAAUUUAAGAAUUGAUCUGGAGCUGAUUUGAAAAAUUCUGCCGGUAUGCCGUCAGUGCCUGGAGCUUUAUUACAUUUUGCCUUUUUCAAUACCAAAUUCAGCUCUUCUUUCGUUAUUUUUGCAUCUAGUUUUUUGUCCUCUAUGAACGGUAUGGCAUAUGCUAUUUUAUCUGCCUCAACUUCAACGGAAAGUAAGUUUUUAAAAUGUUUGACCCAGUUUCCAAUAUCUAUCUGGCCUGUACACUUGAAGGAUGUUCUUUUAAACUUUUUCACCGAGUCCCAAAACUGUUUAGAGUCGCGCACAUUUUCUAAGCAUUUUCUAAUAUUAUCAUAAUACUCGGCUUUUUUAGUUUUACACAACUGAAUGUACUUUUUGUUUUCCUCCGCAUAGAUUUGUCUAGCUUGCUGACUAUUCACCCUCCUAAAAAGUCUAAGACAGGCAAAACUUAUUUUUCUCUCAAGUAUAUCCAAAGACUGUAAUCUCCCCGAGUUCAAGUGAUCCCAGCCAAUGUUCACAAAUGCAAAGUAUAUCUUGAUCAAGACUAGAGUUUAGAUUAACAAGUUCAUACAAUUUAUUAAGCAACCCCUGUGUAUUCCAAUGAACAACCACCAAACUAGAUUGAACAUCAGAAGCAGAGCUAUUCACAUUAUCAACUAUUUAUUUGCAAUUUUUAGAGAAGCCUUUGAGUUUAAAUGAUCAUAACAACUUGCUUUCUUGCGAAAUAUUUUGCAACAUAUGUAUUGGAGGGCCAGAAUUCCGGCUUAUAAACACGUUCAAACACACUAGCAGGAACCCCAACUUUAAAAGAUGAGUAUAUGAGCUUGGAUGCUUAGAUGAGAGUUUUUCAACUACAUAAUCGUUUAUAUCCUGCUUGGUCAAAAACUCUUCAAGGUUCUCGCAAGAUGUAUCAGGAGUUAAUCUAGAGACAAACAGAAACAUUUUACGAUCAAAAACUGUCAGAUAGUCAAUACCGGUCAUGUUACCAGUAAUAAAUUUUCUAUUAUUUUUAACAUUUAUAUUACCCUGCAACUUUGAACUCACAGGCCGUUGUCCUUUGUUUCCAGGAACUGGGUUUUUAGGUUUCCUAUUUUUCCUACUAACUACUGAAGCCCAGCUGUUAUCAUUAGACUUACUAACAUUGAUUGUUGGAACAGGAGCUGUAGUGAUGAAAUUUUCCAACACAAAAGAAAAAGACAUGGAAGCAGUAAUCAAACACUGACUGAAGUCUUCAAAAACUCGGUUUACCAGCAAAGAGAAAUCUAAAAAUGUUCAAACACCGGAUCCUGGAGGAAAAUCUGAAUGCUUCAAAAAUUGAGAUUGAAUUGAGGUACAGUAACAUAAACCAGUAUGUAGCUCAAAAAAUUGCUACUUUAAACAGGAAGAGAUUAAAGUAUUCUGGAGCACCACAAUAAGGACAUUUCUUAAUAGAUAAAUGAUAUGCAUAUGAGUUAUUUUAAUAAACAACUUCUCACAUUA